AUCGUUCAUUCAAUGCUCUUUUUUAGUGCAUUGAACGGAAGUAGGAAGAUAGGAAAACCUCUUUCUGCACGAUGUGUAGAAAGGCUAGCUAGUACCUUUUAUAGGGAACGAGACCGAAUAUCUACCGAAGGAACGCGUU
rnacentral:ncRNA from 10 species